rnacentral:rRNA from 1 species
AGAGUUUGAUCAUGGCUCAGAACGAACGCUGGCGGCAUGCUUAACACAUGCAAGUCGAACGAAUAAGAGCCCUAGCAAUAGGGAGUUCUGUUAGUGGCAUACGGGUGAGUAACGCGUGGGAAUCUGCCUAAUAGUACGGAAUAACAAUUGGAAACGAUUGCUAAUACCGUAUAUUCUCUCCGGAGGAAAGAUUUAUCGCU